CGGGGGGGGGGCAAGCGUUGUUCGGGAAUUACUGGGGCGUAAAGGGCGCGCAGGCGGGCGGGAAAGUCUCUCGUGAAAUCCCACGGGCUCAACCGCGGGAAUUGCGGGAGAUACUACUCGUCUUGAGUUCGGGAGAGGAGUGUGGAAUUCCCAGUGUAGCGGUGAAAUGCGUAGAUAUUGGGAGGAACACCGGUGGCGAAGGCGGCACUCUGGACCGAUACUGACGCUGAGGCGCGAAAGCUAGGGGAGCAAACGGGAUUAGAUACCCCGGUAGUCCUAGCUGUAAACGCUGAGCACUUGGUGUAGCGGGUAUCGACCCCUGCUGUGCCGAAGCUAACGCAUUAAGUGCUCCGCCUGGGGAGUACGGUCGCAAAGGCUGA
rnacentral:rRNA from 1 species